UACGGAGGGUGCAAGCGUUAUCCGGAUUCACUGGGUUUAAAGGGUGUGUAGGCGGAUAUUUAAGUCAGUGGUGAAAUCUCCAGGCUCAACCUGGAAACUGCCAUUGAUACUAUUUAUCUUGAAUUCUGUUGAGGUGGGCGGAAUACAUCAUGUAGCGGUGAAAAUGCUUAGAUAUGAUGUAGAACACCGAUUGCGAAGGCAGCUCACUAAGCAGACAUUGACGCUGAGGCACGAAAGCGUGGGGAUCAAACAGG
rnacentral:rRNA from 1 species